UACGAAGGGGGCUAGCGUUGCUCGGAAUCACUGGGCGUAAAGCGCACGUAGGCGGGUUGUUAAGUCGGGGGUGAAAUCCUGGAGCUCAACUCCAGAACUGCCUUCGAUACUGGCGACCUUGAGUCCGGGAGAGGUGAGUGGAACUCCGAGUGUAGAGGUGAAAUUCGUAGAUAUUCGCAAGAACACCAGUGGCGAAGGCGGCUCACUGGCCCGGUACUGACGCUGAGGUGCGAAAGCGUAGGGAGCAAACAGG
rnacentral:rRNA from 1 species